AACGAACGCUGGCGGCAUGCCUAACACAUGCAAGUCGAACGAUGCUUUCGGGCAUAGUGGCGCACGGGUGCGUAACGCGUGGGAAUCUGCCCUGGGGUUCGGGAUAACAGCGGGAAACUGCUGCUAAUACCGGAUGAUAUCGCGAGAUCAAAGAUUUAUCGCCCUGGGAUGAGCCCGCGUCGGAUUAGGUAGUUGGUGGGGUAAGAGCCUACCAAGCCGACGAUCCGUAGCUGGUCUGAGAGGAUGAUCAGCCACACUGGGACUGAGACACGGCCCAGACUCCUACGGGAGGCAGCAGUGGGGAAUAUUGGACAAUGGGCGCAAGCCUGAUUCAGCAAUGCCGCGUGAGUGAUGAAGGCCUUAGGGUUGUAAAGCUCUUUUACCCGGGAUGAUAAUGACAGUACCGGGAGAAUAAGCCCCGGCUAACUCCGUG
rnacentral:rRNA from 1 species